rnacentral:rRNA from 1 species
AUUUUAAAAUGAGUAUAAAUAUAAUUUACUUUAUUGAAAUAAAGUUUUAUUUUAAUGAGUAUUAAAAGUAUAGAAAUUAUUAUUAUAUUAAGUACUGUGAAGGUUAUUAUGAAAUUAUUAAUAGUAGAAUUUAAAUUUCGUACCUUUUGCAUAAUGGGUUGAUGAUAUGUUUGAUUUUAUAAAAAAUUCUCGAAAUAAAAUGAUUUACUUCAUAAUUUUAUUGUUAACGUGGUAAAGUUAUAAUAUUAUUAUGAGGUGGUAAUGAAAUGUUUAUCGAAUUUUAUGAUAGCUAGUUUAUCAGUGUGUAAUAUUUCAGUAUUUCAAUAUUAAUACUAUUAAAUAGUUUAAUAUUGUUUAUUUUAUAAGGGAUAAGCUUUAUAUUGUUUAAUAGAUUUAUUAUAUUAAUAUACAUAUAUUAUAAAGUAGAAUUAAAAUUGUUUUUCUUUUGUAUAUAGUAGUAUUUAGUGUUUAUAUAAUCAGAUAAUAACUGAUAAAUUUUUGUUAAUUAUUGUAAAAAAAUAUAAUGUUAAUAUGAGUAUUUAUUAUAUAAUAUUAUUUAUUUUAAUUAAAGUGUAUUUAAUUGAUUUUUAUAAUAAAAUGAAAUAAAAUAAAGGAAUUCGGCAAAUAUAAAUCUCGCCUGUUUACCAAAAACAUGUCUCUUUGUUCUUUAUAUAUAAAGAGUUGGACCUGCUCGGUGAAUAAUAUAUUUUAACAGCUGCGGUAUUUUAACUGUACUAAGGUAGCAUAAUAAUUUGCCUUAUAAAUUGAGGCUGGAAUGAAUGGUUUGACGAGGGUUUAUCUGUCUCUAUUUUAUUUAUUAGAAUUUAAUUUUUAUAGUGAAAAAGCUUAAAUAGUUUAAAGGGACGAGAAGACCCUAAUGAGCUUAAAUUUAAUAGUGCUAAAAUUAUAAGUUAAUAGGAUUAUGAAAAUUUUAAUUGGGGUGAUUAAGGGAUAAUUUAUUAAAUAAUAACUUCCUUAAAUAUAAUAUUGUUGAAUUAAUUAACCAAUUUAUAUUGCUUAUAGUAUAGUUACCAUAGGGAUAACAGCGUAAUUUAUUUAGAGAGUUCAUAUUGAAAAAUAAGAUUGCGACCUCGAUGUUGGAUUAAGGUUACCUUAAGGUGCAGAAGCUUUAAUAGGUAAAUCUGUUCGAUUUUUAAAACUUUACAUGAUCUGAGUUCAGACCGGUGUAAGCCAGGUUGGUUUCUAUCUUUUAAAUAGUUGAUUUUUUUUUUAGUACGAAAGGACCAUUAAAAUUAAUAUGAUUAAUAA